rnacentral:misc_RNA from 1 species
AAGUCGUAACAAGGUUUCCGUAGGUGAACCUGCGGAAGGAUCAUUACCGUGCCAGGGGGCCCUCCGGGGUCCCGUUGUGCCACCCGUGUUUACUUGUACCUGUUGCUUCGGCGGGCCUGCGGGCCUCGCUCGCUGCCGGGGGACCUGGUCCCCGGGCGCGUGCCCGCCGGAGACACACCAAACCUCUCUAACGGAUACGUCUGAGCAAAUGAUCUAAUCAUUAAAACUUUCAACAACGGAUCUCUUGGUUCCCA